UACGGAGGGUGCGAGCGUUGUCCGGAAUCAUUGGGCGUAAAGGGCGCGUAGGUGGCCCCUCAAGCGUGCGGUGAAAGUCAGGGGCUCAACCCCUGGUCGGCCGUGCGAACUGGGGAGCUUGAGCACUGUAGAGGCAGGCGGAAUUCCGGGUGUAGCGGUGGAAUGCGUAGAGAUCCGGAAGAACACCGGUGGCGAAGGCGGCCUGCUGGGCAGUUUUGCUGACACUGAGGCGCGACAGCGUGGGGAGCAAACAGG
rnacentral:rRNA from 1 species